rnacentral:lncRNA from 1 species
GACAAAAUUCCUGUUCCUGCACCCACGUCAAGGACGACCUUGUUCUUGAAAAGAAAGCUAUUCUGAUAAAUAACAUUUUGAUAGGUCUUCGUCCUAACAACAUCUUUCAACAUUUCCUGCAGGAUACAUAUAAUAAAAGGAAAUUACUGCAUAGACAGAUUUCACACUUAAAGCCACUCCAAAAUCCACUGACACUAAUAGGAUACAAAUAAGUGGCAUUAACGGAAGAUAAACCAAAGUUUAGUGACGUCAUAAAUCACACAUCGAUGCUGAAGUCAAUUCAAAGUAGUUCCUACAAACCAGCUAGGGAAAUGUCUAAAAAUAUCUUAAACCCUAUCAUCUGAACAAAUAGCAAUGAUUAUCUUAACAAAUUUAGUGUAUGCUUAUAUGGUUCCGCCUAAGCUUCUUAUAUUGCAUAUACAACGACUGUACAUAAUUGAUGCUAAGACUUCAAAGGAUCAGAAAAAGCAACAACAGAACUCACAUGCACAUAAUAAACAAAAUGAACUCACACCAGACCUAAUGUAGGCCACACCUAGCUUAUACAACAUGAUCCUUCCAACAAAAUGAAUAAGAUUCCAGCACAUACAACCACACACAAACUAAGAGAAAACUGAAAAAGAUAGUACAACCAUCAGAAUAUAUUAACCUAAAAGCACAGGUAGUUACAUAAUGCAGCCAAGUCAGACAACAAUGGUCUCUAGACAGAAAACUGUGCAGUGAACAGCUAAAGAGAAAAAUGUAGAUAAUAGCUGAGCUAAUAGAAAAUCCUAGUUGAAUGUUCCAGUGAUUAAUAAAAGACGAUGAAAAUAAAAGCAAACAAAGACGAAGGAAAAGGCGACUCAACUAGAUUCAUAUACAAGGAAACCAGUGACUGAAUAAUUCAAACUAAAAUAAGUACACCUUCUGAACAGCAAUAAUUUCAUGGAUUUCAUUAAAGUAGAUGCAUAUGAUCAUCACUUAUCUACCAUGGUUACCGCUAGUGCCUCAUGAAUCAGUGCACAAAGAACUUACUUCAUGGAUACCUGCAUAGAGAAAGAUAAAAAAACACAUAAGUUUCUCAAUGAUUAACAUAUUUAGAGCCUAAAUUUAAACCAAUACAAUCUUUGUCACAUUACGCAAAAAGUCACAAGUCUCAAAUUUUAGCAGCCUCAAUCACUAACACCACAGAGGGAAAACAAAAAACUAGACAAAUCCUCAAAGUGACGAAAGAAUAAAAAAUAAAAAGGAAGUCUUUAAUUUAGACAUGAAAUCAACUGACUUAUACCAGCAGAUGAAGUUACAAACAUCAGUGUUUCAGUGUUUUAUAUUGCUUUCAACAGAGCAUGCAUAUUAAGAAAAGACAGUGAAGUUAGGAACAUCAGCAUAUCAUGUUUUCCAUUGCCCUCGACUGACCACCUUACCACAUUACUACAAGUUGAGACAAAAAACGAUCGCUAUCUCACAGGGUUUUACUUCACAAACCCCGAAAAGGACCCACGAUCAUCAACACACAAUAAAGGAAGAUUAUUUAUGGUACAUACAAGCUAAAAGCAUCAACAAGCGCAAAAAUCAAAUUUUGAAAGCAAAAGUCAUACGAAAAACGAAAUCGAACAACUUACUGCCACUACACUACCAAAUCCAUUAAUAUUUUUUGUUUCACUUUUCUCUUCGGCGAAGAAGCUAAUAAGUGGGCCGAAAAGGGUUUGUGGAUCAGAGAAAGAGAACGAGCGAUACCGAAGUGGGAAUAGGAAUCGAAGUAGUAGUCGGCGCUAGUCUUGUCGCUGCCAAUUAAGGGCGAGUCCUCGAGGUUGGAGCUCUCGGCCUUCUCCUCGAUGGCCACGACCUCCGGCGCCUCCUCCUGCCCUUUCCCCCCAUCGAGGUU